CUUAGGACUCUGUAAGCCAUGCUUUUAAAUUUGACUUGAAAUGGAAAGGUAAUACAGAUAAACAGUUUUAGUGUAGAAAAGAGUUUUCUAAAAUGAAACCUGUUAGCAAAUGAGUCAUACAGGGUGUGUUUAAAAACAUUUCUGGUUUGGUUUUGAGUUCAACUAGGUUUUAUUUAGUAUUUAUUUUCAAAUUGUAGGUGAAGAAAGUGAUACCGAUACAGUUUCAGUAAGAAGAAAAUUUCGAGACGUUCACUUACAGAAUCUGCAUGUACGUGAUGGGAAAAUACAAGAGAAAGUAAAAGUGGAUGUGAUAGUUCAAGACAAUGUUAGAAAAAUUCCCGGAUGGAUUAUGAGAGAAUGUCAAGGCUCGUCAAAAGGUCUGCAUUUAGCUUCACCAGUGCAAGAACUGAUUGGUACAGCUAAAUCUUUUGGAGGUUGG